GAUGAACGCUGGCGGCGUGCCUAAUACAUGCAAGUCGAGCGAACAGACGAGGAGCUUGCUCCUCUGACGUUAGCGGCGGACGGGUGAGUAACACGUGGAUAACCUACCUAUAAGACUGGGAUAACUUCGGGAAACCGGAGCUAAUACCGGAUAAUAUAUUGAACCGCAUGGUUCAAUAGUUAAAGACGGUUUUGCUGUCACUUAUAGAUGGAUCCGCGCCGCAUUAGCUAGUUGGUAAGGUAACGGCUUACCAAGGCAACGAUGCGUAGCCGACCUGAGAGGGUGAUCGGACACACUGGAACUGAGACACGGUCCAGACUCCUACGGUGGGAAGCAGUAGAGAAUCUUACGCAAUGGGCCAAAGCCUGACGGAGCAACGCCGCGUGAGUGAUGAAGGUCUUCGGAUCGUAAAACUCUGUUAUUAGGGAAGAACAAAUGUGUAAGUAACUAUGCACGUAUUGACGGUACCUAAUCAGAAAGCCACGGCUAACUACGUG
rnacentral:rRNA from 1 species